rnacentral:rRNA from 1 species
UAAGCGGAGGAAAAGAAACUAACAAGGAUUCCCCUAGUAACUGCGAGUGAAGCGGGAAAAGCUCAAAUUUGGAAUCUGGUGGUCUUUGGCCAUCCGAGUUGUAAUUUAGAGAAGCGUCUUCCGCGCUGGACCGUGCACAAGUCUCCUGGAAUGGAGCGUCAUAGAGGGUGAGAAUCCCGUCUUUGGCACGGAAUCCCAGGGCUUCUGUGAUGCGCUCUCGACGAGUCGAGUUGUUUGGGAAUGCAGCUCAAAAUGGGUGGUGAACUCCAUCUAAAGCUAAAUAUUGGCGAGAGACCGAUAGCGAACAAGUACCGUGAGGGAAAGAUGAAAAGCACUUUGGAAAGAGAGUGAAACAGUACGUGAAAUUGUUGAAAGGGAAACGCUUGAAGUCAGUCGCGUCGACCGAGACUCAGCCUUGCCUCGGCUUGGUGUACUUCUCGGCUUGACGGGUCAGCAUCGAUUUCGAUCCUCGGAUAAUGGCAAGGGAAAGGUAGCACCUUUUUAGGUGUGUUAUAGUCCUCUGUCGCAUGCGAGGGUCGGGAUCGAGGAACUCAGCACGCACCUCAGGGUGUCGGGGCCUUCUUGGCCCACGUUUACGUGCUUAGGAUGCUGGCGUAAUGGCUUUAAACGACC